AUCACCACUUGAGAAAAAUUUGUUGCCAAAAGAUGAUAAUCAUGGGAAUGAAAAUUUUCAUCACCAUCUUGGUGGUGAUGGUGAU
rnacentral:snoRNA from 1 species